GACGAACGCUGGCGGCGUGCCUAAUACAUGCAAGUCGAGUGGAAGUUGAAGAGCUUGCUCUUCAACUUUAGCGGCGGACGGGUGAGUAACACGUGGGCAACCUGCCCUGCAGAUCGGGAUAACUCCGGGAAACCGGUGCUAAUACCGAAUAGUUUUCGCCACCUCCUGGUGGCGUACGGAAAGACGGUUUCGGCUGUCACCGCAGGCUGGGCCCGCGGCGCAUUAGCUAGUUGGUGGGGUAACGGCCCACCAAGGCGACGAUGCGUAGCCGACCUGAGAGGGUGAUCGGCCACACUGGGACUGAGACACGGCCCAGACUCCUACGGGAGGCAGCAGUAGGGAAUCUUCCGCAAUGGACGAAAGUCUGACGGAGCAACGCCGCGUGAGUGACGAAGGUUUUCGGAUCGUAAAACUCUGUUGUGAGGGAAGAACAAGUACCAACUAACUACUGGUACCUUGACGGUACCUCACCAGAAAGCCACGGCUAACUACGUGCCAGCAGCCGCCGUAACAC
rnacentral:rRNA from 1 species